UCCGGUGAGAAUCCGGAACGGUCCCGCCACGGUAUUGUCGCCUUAGGCGACAGAGUCCGA
rnacentral:ncRNA from 2 species